CAUGGAUAACCAUGGUAAUUCUAUGGCUAAUACAUGCGCACUCGCCUCCUUCUCUGGAGGGGCUGUGUUUAUUAGAUACAAAACCAACCCACUUUGUGGAGUCCUGGUGAUUCAUAGUAACCGAACGGAUCGCAGUUGGCUUCGGCCCGCGAUGGAUCUUUCAAGUUUCUGACCUAUCAGCUUUCGACGGUAGGGUAUUGGCCUACCGUGGCAGUGACGGGUAACGGGGAAUUAGGGUUCGAUUCCGGAGAGGGAGCCUGAGAAACGGCUACCACAUCUAAGGAAGGCAGCAGGCGCGCAAAUUACCCAAUGAAAACAGUUUCGAGGUAGUGACGAGAAAUAACAAUACAGGGCAUUUUAUGCUCUGUAAUUGGAAUGAUGGGAAUGUAAAACCCUUCCAGAGUAACAAUUGGAGGGCAAGUCUGGUGCCAGCAGCCGCGGUAAUUCCAGCUCCAAUAGUGUAUAUUAGAGUUGUUGCAGUUAAAAAGCUCGUAGUUGGAUUUCUGUCGUGGUCAUCCGGUUCCGCCCGUAUGGGUGUGCGCCUGGUUUGCCCUCGGCUUUCUUCCGGUAGCCUUCCGCGCUUCAUUGCGUGUGUUGGUGUUCCGGAACUUUUACUUUGAGAAAAAUAGAGUGUUUCAAGCAGGCUUGUCGCCCUGAAUACUUCAGCAUGGAAUAAUAAGAUAGGACCUUGGUUCUAUUUUGUUGGUUUCUAGGACCUAGGUAAUGAUUAAUAGGGACAGUUGGGGGCAUUCGUAUUUAACUGUCAGAGGUGAAAUUCUUAGAUUUGUUAAAGACGAACUACUGCGAAAGCAUUUGCCAAGGAUGUUUUCAUUAAUCAAGAACGACAGUAGGGGGUUUGAAGACGAUUA
rnacentral:rRNA from 1 species